rnacentral:rRNA from 1 species
UACGGAGGGUGCGAGCGUUGUCCGGAAUCACUGGGCGUAAAGGGCGCGUAGGCGGCUGGGUAAGUCGGCGGUGAAAGCCCGGAGCUCAACUCCGGGUCGGCCGUCGAGACUCCUCGGCUCGAGCUCACUAGAGGCAGAUGGAAUUCCGGGUGUAGCGGUGGAAUGCGUAGAGAUCCGGAAGAACACCGGUGGCGAAGGCGGUCUGCUGGGGUGAGGCUGACGCUGAUGCGCGACAGCGUGGGGAGCAAACAGG